rnacentral:rRNA from 1 species
AACGAACGCUGGCGGCAGGCCUAACACAUGCAAGUCGAACGAUGCCUUCGGGCAUAGUGGCGCACGGGUGAGUAACACGUGGGAACAUACCUUUCGGUGGGGGAUAACUUCGGGAAACUGAAGCUAAUACCGCAUACGCCCCUUGGGGGAAAGAUUUAUCGCCGAAAGAUUGGCCCGCGUCCGAUUAGCUAGUUGGUGAGGUAACGGCUCACCAAGGCUCCGAUCGGUAGCUGGUCUGAGAGGAUGACCAGCCACACUGGGACUGAGACACGGCCCAGACUCCUACGGGAGGCAGCAGUGGGGAAUAUUGGACAAUGGGCGCAAGCCUGAUCCAGCCAUGCCGCGUGAGUGAUGAAGGCCUUAGGGUUGCAAAGCUCUUUCACCCACGACGAUGAUGACGGUAGUGGGAGAAGAAGCCCCGGCUAACUUCGUGCCAGCCGCCGCCGUAA